GUAGAUUUUCGACCCGAAAGGAAGAGCUCUGAUAGGAUGAUGUACUCCACCUCCUGCGUCCAGAGCGCAUCACCUGUUUUCUUUUCUUGUUCUGUUGCAGUGUUUGAAGUUACUGUAAAAUGCACGUUGGGGUGGUGCACUUGAGAGUGCUGAAGCCUUAAGAACCCACUUGGGUCUCCGAGAUGUGGGACUUAAAACCAAGACGGACACCAGGAGAAUGAAUCGACACCAUAGAAACACCACAUGGGCUGAGAGAUGAAUCCAAGACUCUGGAGAUGUGAGUCCGCAAAGGAACCAAGACUUCUUGAAACAAAAAGAUCAAAGAAAAUGGAUGUAAAAAAAAUAAAUGAAUGAAGAGACCCCUCCACACAAAGGGUUCACUACAAACUGACAAAUCAUGUUGCUUGAAGUUUGAAAAAGAAAAAAUAAGAAGCUGCUGGAUGACAACUUAACUCUGGACUGAAAGUACUCCUCUCAUUUGCAGAUAUUUCAGGGUUUCUAAAAUUGCUUUAUUUGGUUCUGUUUUAAUCAAGAGAGAUAACACUAAGCCCUUUUUAGUCACCAAGCCACACUUCCUUUUAAACAAGGCUGGUGGUCUGAGUGGGCAGAGGACUGUGCAGGCUGUGUGCAGUCAGGCACUGAGGCCUGUAUUUCCUUGUAUAGUUUUUUUUUAACCCAACAGUAGCACGCAUACGUUGGUAAGGAAACACCUGCCCUUUUUUACUCUUUAGGGUAUCAACUUGUACUUUUACUUGUCUCUUUUUUAUUUUCACUAGUUUCAACUUUCUCAGUAUUUUUCUCCAUGUAUGUAUAUACUGUAAAUGAAAUUGUAAUACCUUGUCUGUCUUAUGA